CUUUAAAGGAUAGUAGCUAUCCAC
rnacentral:tRNA from 1 species